rnacentral:rRNA from 1 species
UGCAAGUCGAACGAGAGGCCGUAGCAAUACGGUCGUACAGUGGCGAACGGGUGAGGAAGACGUGGGUAACCUACCCUCGAGUGGGGAAUAACCCGCCGAAAGGCGGGCUAAUACCGCGUACGCUUCUGUUCCUUCGGGGACGGAAGGAAAGCUGUGCCGUGGGCAUGGCGCUCAAGGAUGGGCUCACGCCCUAUCAGCUUGUUGGUAGGGUAACGGCCUACCAAGGCAACGACGGGUAGCUGGUCUGAGAGGACGAUCAGCCACACUGGCACUGCGACACGGGCCAGACUCCUACGGGAGGCAGCAGUGAGGAAUAUUGCGCAAUGGGCGAAAGCCUGACGCAGCGACGCCGCGUGGGGGAUGAAGGUCUUCGGAUUGUAAACCCCUUUCAGGAGGGAAGAUGGAACGGGCAACCGUUCGGACGGUACCUCCAGAAGCAGCCACGGCUAACUUCGUGCCAGCAGCCGCGGUAAUACGAAGGUGGCAAGCGUUGUUCGGAUUUACUGGGCGUAAAGGGAGCGUAGGCGGUUAGGUAAGCCCUUUGGGAAAGCUCCCGGCUUAACCGGGAAAGGUCGAAGGGGACUGCCUGGCUAGAGGGUGGGAGAGGAGCGCGGAAUUCCCGGUGUAGCGGUGAAAUGCGUAGAGAUCGGGAGGAAGG